rnacentral:lncRNA from 1 species
CUGAGUACACAUUAAUCUGAGCUCCCUCAGCCCUAGGGGUAGGGGGAUUGGGGGCACAAGAUGGGUGGAGCCAGAUAGGGAAGAUUCCCCCAGUGUUGUCCUGCUCCCAGUCCAGGUUUGGGACAAUGCCGGCAGCGUUUCCCUGUGUCUUUCCCCCACAAAGUCUCCAAGUCUUUCCUCAAAUGAUCGUCAAGGUUUGGGAGAAACAAUCUCUUCCUCUGCCCGGGUUGCGUGGAUCUCCAGUGGAAAGGAAGAACCGGAACUAUGGUUUGUGCCUGCCUUAUUGCCUCCAAAAUAUUUUUAACUGCAGAGGUAUGAAAGAUGUUCUACAAAAUUUGUCUUAUGAUGAUUGAGUUUGCUAGUUCUGAAACAUCGCUGGUAGGACGUUAAGAUGAUUAUUUGAUUCAUGGUGCUUAGUAAAACUGUAAUUAGAGAAGCAGUUUUUAGAAAGUCUGUUUUUGA